GACCUGAUAGCACAAGGUAGUGCCUCUGCUUCAAUUGGGUUUGUUCAAGUGAAACCAUGUAACCAGAUGAUCCGCGUUCGACUCGCGGUCAGGUCA